UACGUAGGGUGCAAGCGUUGUCCGGAAUUAUUGGGCGUAAAGGGCUCGUAGGCGGUCCAUCGCGUCGGGAGUGAAAAGCUGGGGCUCAACCCCAGUCCUGCUUCCGAUACGGGUGGACUAGAGGUAUGCAGGGGAGAACGGAAUUCCUGGUGUAGCGGUGAAAUGCGCAGAUAUCAGGAAGAACACCCGUGGCUAAGGCGGCUCUCUAGUACGGUACUGACGCUGAGACGCGAAAGCGUGGGGAGCGAACAGG
rnacentral:rRNA from 1 species